rnacentral:miRNA from 1 species
CGCUGGCUGAAAUCGGACCAAGU